AUCUAGUGUUUCGAACGAGGUUUCGAAGUCACAGACGUCGCCGGCAGACCAUGAAUUAAGUCCUACUUCGCAAGCCAAUCAAAUAGAGUCUGAGGAAGAACAGUCAGACAAUGCAAACGUUUUAGAAUCUCAAAAUUCACCUGUAUUUGUGAGGGAUAACAAUGUCGAUCAGUCCGAAAAUACGACGGAUGUUGUUCAAUUGCAAAGCCCAUUAUCUGUCGCUUCUGGCGAGGCUACGACGAGUUUUGCUUCAAGAGAAGGGCAAAUAGAUCAAGAACAACGACAGCUUGAGGUGGGUCUGAGUCAAAUUGCUUCUUUUUCGAAGAAAAACCCAGUUUUAUCGCCUUUAGCAGCUGUGUUUGAGUCUAACAUUAAUAAAAUUCGCGAUAAAAACACGGAAAAAUUAUCGACACGCGUGGGCGCCACGCAAAGUAUUUCCGCGCGUGAUAAUAUUCGUGAAGUGAACACGGUCGAA
rnacentral:lncRNA from 1 species